UUCUUGUUCAAAGAAUCACAGACCAUAUGAUGGAAGGUGCAGCUUCACCAACAUCAAUCAUUACCAUCCACAACUCCAAAACUAUCCCCUUUACCUUUCUGAGUGAGAACUCACCCUGCUCAUAUACCCAUCUCUCUGAAAAUGGAUUGCAUUACUAGGUAUGCAUUUUCUUAUUAAAUCUACACUUGAAUUAUAUUGCUAUGAGGAAUUUCAUGGUUUUUGAGAAUGAAUUGAUGAUUAUUUCAAAAUGGGUUGUUCUUUUCUACAAUGUAUAUGUUACUUUUGCUUAAUUUUGUAUCAUAUGUGAUUGAAGAAAUGGGUGAUACAAAUGGGUUGUGUUUUCUCUGCCUUCUAUAUGUUUGUUUAAAUUCAGUUGUUUGUACUUCUGCUAUUCCUGUAGACAGUUCAUUAAUUUAUUGUGGGGAAGGUGAAGCUAUGAAACUAGAUGAUGGUAGGGUUUUUGAACCUGAUUCUGGGAAUUCUAUUGCUAGUUUAUCCGCUAAUUCCUACAUUGUGGUUUCAAAUACUGAAUUGGGUGUGUCAAAACUUUACACUUCUGCCCGGGUUUUUACUAGAACUUCAACAUAUACAAUUAGCACUAAGCAAAUUGGUCGCCAUUGGCUACGAUUACACUUUUACCCAGUUGAGAAUAGUCAAUACAACUUGGAAUCUGCAGUUUUUUCUGUUGUGGCCAAUGGAAUUACUCUGCUUCAUGGGUUCUCCUUUUCGAAAAUGGGCAAAAAAUACCCUCUCAUCAAGGAAUAUGUAAUUGAAGUGGGUGGUUUGAGUUCGAAAAAGUUGGUACUCACAUUGUCUCCUUGGGAUGGUUCAAUUGCAUUCAUCAAUGGAAUAGAGAUUGCAUUUGUGCCCAAUGGACAGUUCCCUUCUAGUGCAGUUCCGAUACCACUGGGGGCAGCAGUUGAUAUCCCAACCCAUGUAGCUUUUGAUACGGCUUAUAGAAUUAACAUGGGUGGUCCACUUCUGACUCCGAAGAAUGACAUAUUGUGGAGGAUAUGGGAAUCAGAUAAACCUUUUCUUGUGAAUGCUGCUACUGCUCGAAAUGUUUCCACUGACUUGAGUUUAGUCAAGUACCCUGCUGGGGUGUCUGUUGAAAUUGCCCCAAAUUUGGUUUAUGCUACUGCCCAAGAAAUGGCAGAUGCAAAUGUCUCUGAUCAGAAGUUUAACAUUUCAUGGGCGUUUGAAGUUGAUGAAGGCUUUUCUUACCUUAUUAGGAUGCAUUUCUGUGACAUUGUUAGUGUGGCUCUUAAUAGUUUAGUUUUCAAUAUCUACAUUAAUAACCAAUUGGCAAUUGAGUCUUUUGAUAUCUCAAGCAAGACAAUGGCACUAUCAGCAGCUUACUUCAUAGACUUUGUUGUCAAUGUUUCGAUGGGUUCACAUCAGAUUUUAGUUCAAGUUGGUCCUCCUGAUCUAAGGGAUCUCCCAACAAAUGCAAUUCUGAACGGUUUGGAGAUAAUGAAAAUGAGCAAUCCUUGUGAUAGCCUUGAUGGGAAUUUUAGUGCAUACAACAUUGUUUCCAAGGCCCCAAAGAAUGACAAGCAUGUGAUGCUACUGCUGUUUUCUCUUUUAGGAGGUUUUGCAGCUUUGGUACUUUGCUCAGCAGUUUUUAUUCUCUGUUUUUGCCGUCAGAAGAGGCCAAAGCGUCAACCUUCAUCCUGGUUCCCGCUACCUACCCACGUGGGGAAUUCAGAUACCAGAGCUUCAGCUGGCAGUUUCACUUCAAUUACACCUUCUCUUGGGGGCCGCAUUCUAGCUUUCUCAGAAAUUUGUGAAGCGACAAAGAACUUUGAUGAGAGUUUGGUCUUGGGUGUGGGUGGAUUUGGAAAAGUUUAUAGAGGAGUACUAGAAAAUGGGGUUGUGGUUGCUAUAAAGCGUGCAAACCCAAGAUCCCAACAAGGACUGGUUGAAUUCAGGACAGAAAUUGAGAUGCUAACUAAGCUUCGCCACAGACACCUGGUUUCUCUUAUAGGCUACUGUGAAGAACUUAAUGAAAUGAUCCUCGUUUAUGAGUUCAUGGCUGGUGGUCCCCUUAGGAAAAACUUAUAUGGAUCAGAUCUUCUCCCUCUCACUUGGAAACAAAGGCUUGAAAUUUGCACCGGAGCUGCAAAAGGAUUGCACUAUCUUCAUACUGGAGCAGAAGAGAGUAUCAUCCAUCGCGAUGUUAAGACAACCAACAUACUGCUUGAUGAAAAUCUCACAGCAAAAGUGGCAGAUUUUGGAUUAUCUAAGCUAGGGCCAACUCUAGAUCAAACCCAUGUAAGUACUGUAGUGAAGGGAAGUUUCGGGUACCUUGAUCCUGAGUACUUUCGUCGACAGCAACUCACAGAGAAAUCUGAUGUAUAUUCCUUUGGGGUAGUACUAAUGGAGGUUUUGUGUGCUCGGCCUGCUAUUAACCCUGCUCUCCCUAGAGAGCAAGUUAACAUAGCUGAAUGGGCUAUGAAUUGGCAAAAGAAGGGCCAACUAGAGCAGAUAAUAGAUCCCCAUCUUGCAGGAUCUGUUACCCUUGAUUCUCUAAGAAUAUUUGGCGAAACAGCUGAGAAGUGUUUGGCUGAAUAUGGGACUGAGAGGCCAUCAAUGGGAGAUGUUUUGUGGAAUUUGGAGUAUGCUCUUCAGCUGCAAGAGGCUUCUAUGCAAAGUAUUGCAGAUGGGAAUAGCGCCAACCAUAUUCCAGAAAUCCCUGAUUUGAUCCCCUACAUUGAGCCUGCUAAUGGGAAUGGUGUUGACACUGUUAGCGAUCAGGAAUCUGAUGUAACAGCAACAAUGACGACGACAACGACUGGGGUGUUCUCACAGCUGAUAAAUCCAAAGGGAAGAUAGCUCCAACGUGUGCCGUUUGCGGCAAAUUGAAGUUCACGACGAGAUCUACAAAUUGCUCGGAGCAAUUUCUAAUUUGAAGCACUCUAGGGAAUUCGUGAUCUAAGGCACAAAUUGGGACUUUUGGCUUAGACUGAGGAUAUGGGAAAGAAGUGGCGGAUGACAUUCCAUCACAUGCCUAAUUUGGAUUAGAAGAUCAUUUUGCUAUUUUUGUAUCCAAGUCUCACUAUUUUUUUGUAAAACUUAGUAUAUUGUAUUCUGUACGGAGACUUAUGGACUCUUGUUAUUGUAAUUAUAUUCAUGGACUGUAAGUAGAUGAAAUUGGAGUAAAAUUCUAGUAUGUGAGCAUGGGAUUAUGUACAAGACAAGUACUCCUUUAUUCUGGACGAAUGGGUUGAUGGUGAUGAGCUAUUUUGAGGAGGUUGUUGAUGUUGUUGUUUUGGGAAUGUUUUAUAUUAUUUGCAUUGUGUGCUGGUAUAGGUUAGAUAAAUUUUGAAUGUCCAAGAGUGGCCAUUGCAUUUUUUUUUUUUUAUGCAUUUAAGCAAGUUGGCGUAGGACCAUUUUUAGUAGAGGUAAUGCCGAAUUUUUUAUUUUUUAUUUAAAUUGGUUUCAGUUUAGGGUCGUAACAUUAUAUGAAGGAGAAAAAAUGUUCAAAUCUCAAAGUAUAAUGUUCUUGAUUGACUUAUUGCUAAAUCGGGAAUUUUAAAAAAUAGGCUGUGUUUGGUGCUGUAGUAAGUAGUUAUCAAGAAAUCAGGAAGAAUUCCUACUAUGAUGUUUUUAUCAACUCCUACUGGGCUC